GCUGGGUGCAGUAGUGCACACCUGUAACCCCAGCAGCUGGGAAGCUGAGGCAGGAGGAUUACAAGUUCAAAUCCAGUCUCAGCAAUUUAGUGAGGCCCUGUCUCUA
rnacentral:sRNA from 1 species